UACGUAGGGUGCAAGCGUUAAUCGGAAUUACUGGGCGUAAAGCGUGCGCAGGCGGUGAUGUAAGACAGAUGUGAAAUCCCCGGGCUCAACCUGGGGAACUGCAUUUGUGACUGCAUCGCUGGAGUGCGGCAGAGGGGGAUGGAAUUCCGCGUGUAGCAGUGAAAUGCGUAGAUAUGCGGAGGAACACCGAUGGCGAAGGCAAUCCCCUGGGCCUGCACUGACGCUCAUGCACGAAAGCGUGGGGAGCAAACAGG
rnacentral:rRNA from 1 species